GCCAUUACAAUCCUGUUUCCGUUACCCACAAUCAUGACUGCGAACGUGACCACAAUUUGAAACCAUGCUCUAGUUGCAAUAUUAGAAUUUUUAAACAUAACAUUCUAUCAAGCUUCAAUAUUUCAACCAUCCUACUAGAUUUUGUGAACAUCAAUAAUGUCCUAACCUUUUACAUGAUAGUGCCUAGUAUUGAAAAGAACACUAAGACCGCAAUACUCGAUCCAAUCUAACCCCAAAUACUUAGCUAUCAGUAUAGUUGAUAACAUUGCAUUAAAUUAGUUUCAUUUUA
rnacentral:misc_RNA from 1 species